AGAUUUUUUUUUUUUUUGUGAAGCAAAGUAAAUCUAUUUUGUUUAAAACAAAGUAACCAUAUAAGCCACCAUGAAAUUUCACAAAUGAACUUCAUUAAAGGAACUUUUCAAGCAACAAUAGUACAUAUAUUGAAAUUGAAGCCAAAAGGUCUCAGAUUUAAUAGCACUCAUCAUUGGAAUUACAAUAUUUCUUAGAUAGGACAAAUAUGAGAAGUUAGUAACUAACAUAUACCUAGAUAGGGUAUGGUUGAGUUUAGAAAAUUGGGGUUCUAAAAUAGUUAAGUGACAAAGGAGCACUUGUUGAUAACUCAAACACAACACAACAAAGAAUAAGAAUUUCCCAUGUUAAAACUAAAAGAAGAUAAUAAAGAGGAAAAAGGGGAACUAGUUUUGACAUGCCCUGAAAAGCAAUUUUAGAACAUUUAUAGUUUCAUUACCAGUGACCUACAAUUUAACUAUGAUGCAAUUAGUGAUUGAAACAAUAAGUAAGAUGAAAUCUCACAUUUUCUUUGAUAUAGUCAUUCAGUGCACUUAGCUCAUUGAGUAAUGCCUGUUCUGUCCCAUCACUUGCAUCUUUGCUUUUAAGAAAACCAAUAAAUGUGGAGAAGAUCUUUGAGCCAACUGAAGCCUUCUCAGGUGGGGUUCCCAACUGUGGAUCAGGAAACCUUUCUUCUAGUGAUUGUGUGAUAACAUCUGAGUCUGGAACCCACUUAUCCUCAAGCUUUACCACAGGAACUUUACCUUCUGGGCUUAAUUUCAAGAACCUGAAUGUCACAAGGUACAAAUAAUAAAAUAAAUAUGUAAUACGAGCAAAGAAUACUAUGCAAAGCAAAAGAAGUAUUUGUUAAUCACUGUAAUGAGAUUUGAAGAUACCUGUUUUGCCCAAGGUCUGUAAUCAAGUAUAAAUAUACAACCACCUAUAGCAUUAAACAAUUAUAAAGGAUGGAAAAAAGAACUCAGAAAGAUAGCUAAAAAAAAUCACCAUUCUGGCUUGUUAUCCAAAUCUACCAACUUCAUAUCAUAAGGGAGAUGCUUUUCCUCCAUAGUCAACAAUACUCUUUGGCAAAAAGGGCAGUCGCCAAGCUUGUUGGGGACAGUAAUGGAGGCUUUGACACAGACUUCGAGAGGGUCGGAUACAGCAGACAUUGCAAAAACAGACAGGUUUCUUCUUCUGAUUGAGUGGCUUCUAAAAACGGAGUUGUUGCGAGGAAGACGAAGAGCGAAACCAAGGUGGUGCUUAACUGAGGAUGAGAAAGCACAAGCCGCCGAUGCAGCAGCUAAAGUCGUAGUCGGUUGGAAUCUUGCCGUCGACAUCUUUGGCGUCAAGUUUGUGAGAUGGGGUUCUUUGGCUGUGAGAGCGUGUCAAAAAAGGAGGGAGGAAGUGUGUACAUUUGG
rnacentral:misc_RNA from 1 species